UUUGACAAAAUGCAAGAAAUGCAAAACUCUACAUCUUCUGAUGAGAAAACCACAGAGAAAAAUAAUAAAGGCAAUGCAGCAGCAAGUGUAGAAUCAGUGACCAAUAAAAACUGUAAUGAAGUGAUUGAGCUUGAUGACAGUAUAGAAGACAAAGAAAUAGAAAAAAACAGCUGUGAUUUAUCUGUGCAAUCAAAUGAUCUCAAAGACAAAUGUAACCAGAAGAAAUCUGAAGAUGAACUCCUAGAAAUAAGUUCUGAUUCAGAUAAUGAAGUCAAGCAAAAACUUCAGAAAGAGGAGAGGAAGGAAAAUUACAUGAAACCAGAGGAGGAGGACAAGUUGUUGGCAUCAGAUGAGGAUGAUACUCGACAAUCAGGGGUAUCUACAGCCAGUCACCACUCUCAGGAAACCAUCGCUAAAUGUGAGGAUUCUCAGGAAUCAAUGAAUAAAUGUGAGGACUCGCAAGAAUCUAUUGGUAAAUUUGAGGACUCUGGAGAAUCCAUCAGUAAAUUUGAGGACUCUCCAGAAUCCACCAGUAAAUUUGAGGACUCACGAGAAUCCACCAGUAAAUGUGAGGAUUCACGGGAAUCCACUAGUAAAUGUGAGGAUUCGCGGGAUUCUGCAGACUGUGAAAAAGGGUCUGACAGUAACAAUGGAAAAGACAAUGAAAGUGCAUCAGAAAAAAUGGAAGUUGAUGAAGAGGAAGAAGAAAGUGAUAGUGAAAGUGUUAAAAAUGAGGAUUCAGAUAGCAAAUCAUCUGAAGACAGCAAGAAAUCAGACUCUGGGGACAAAAAGGUAGAAAAGGGUAUAAAUGAAAAGAAAAGACCAGCAAACUUUGAAGAUGCACUUGCCUUCGGACCAAAGCGUACCCGAUUGGACAUGGUAAUAGGAAAGCUAGGAUCCCAAAUUGGAAUUGCUCCUGAGAGUUUGAAAGACGAGGAAAUGUCUGACACGGAUACAGCAACUGAAUCCACACCAACACCUACUGAGGACACUGAGGAUGAAGAUGAGGAAAACAGUUUACAACGAAAGAAAAAGAAACCUCCAGUUAGGCUGUCCGAAAAGGCAUUAGAUAAGAUGGUAAAAACCAAAGUCCUCAACCAUCUGAAGACUCAGAAAGAUGGCAUCGUAGCAGAACUUCAGCAGAAAGUGGAGGAGCUGCAAGCGUCCAAUGACGGCUGGAAGCAGAGGGUGAAGGAGCUGGAGAAACAGAUCCUAGAGGUCACAGUCCUACAGCAGAAGCACGAGAAACGCAAAGCCAAAACCGCGGCUCUAAGGCAAAUCACCACAAAGAAUGUUGGGGUACAAGUGGAUUCUCAAAGGGCAGCUGCAGCCAUAGGUCAGUUACAGCAGCAGCAGGUACAGCAGACUACACCAGUGAAGUCUCCCACCCCCAGGCAAGCCAGCAGAACCCCCACCACCACCACUGUCCAGACCCCACCCACCACUAAACAGGGCCCAGUUCUCAACAUCACUAAGAGCACCUCGGCCUCCCCUCAGCUGGUGCCACCAAGGUCCACCCUCAACCCAGUCCCAAACAUUCCAAUUCUUAAAACUCAGACCACUGCACAAUCUCAGACAGGGUACGUCAGUCAAACGGCCCCUGUUGUUGCUUUGGCAACGUCCCCAGCAAAUACUGCAGACAACAGCAAGGGACCAUUUCCAUCCAACCAGACUGUCAAAAGUAUUUUGGAUAACAGUCGCGGUCAGAUUGCACAGCCUACAGGCAAUUCUCGAGUCAGACCAGUACGAGCGAUGACCCCAGCAACACAGAUCAAUACCAUUAUAUCACCUCCCACAAUUCCCAAUCAGAUGACGUCAUUUAUAGUGGUACCUACCCCAGCCCCAAUACCCAACACCAAACAAAAUGUUUCAGUUGUCACAACACCAGUGGUGAACCAACCCAUUCAACAAGCUCAACAAUCACAGCAGGUGCAAAAAAAGUCAGUCAAAGUCAUUGAUCUUACUAUGGAAGAGGAGGCUAACAGAAACCUGGCUAACAGGGGAGUGGCUUUAUCCAUGUCUCAGAACCAAGUGCUUGUUCCAACAGGACAAGGACUGCCUCAGGGUCUCAUCCUUGGAAAUCCAGCAACAUCGAUUCUAAGGAACGGUCAGCAACCCGCUUACCAGAUAGUUUUUAGCUCCACCAGUCAACCCGUGCGUCUAACGUACGCGGCCCCCAUUCCCAACACCAGUAUGAGACCUGCAGUGGCUGGGACCACUGUUGUUGCAUCUACCUCUCAAACUAUAGCAGCUAUGCCUCAGCUGAGACCUGGCCAAGCUGUCGGUUCUCCAGUUAACCCCAGGCAACCACUGCCUGUAACAUCAGCUCAGCAAAGACCACCUCCUCCCCUGCAGUAUGGGGCUCAGGGUGCCAAUAGAGUAGCAAACACAUCCCUGACGACUGUAGCACCCCCUCCACUCGCCCCUCAACACCCUGCUCCCUUGCCCUCCAUUACCUCAGCAGUGGCACCAGGUCAGAAACCAUUACCUCCAAAGCCCAGUUUGAAGAUCUCCAGAGUGAGCCAGGGUAUCGUGCUGUCAUGGAAUAUGACUCUGAAUGAGACACCCCAUGCUGACAUAGCCUCAUAUCAACUGUUUGCAUAUCAAGAGGGCACUUCAACACCCAGUACAACUCUAUGGAAAAAGGUGGGGGAUGUGAAGGCGCUGCCUCUACCCAUGGCCUGUACUUUGACACAGUUUCAGGAGGGGAACAAGUACCACUUUGCUGUCCGCCCCGUGGAUGCACUGGGGCGUAACGGUCAUUUCAGUGACCCCAGCUCAAUACACCUGCUCCCCAACAAGAAGGAUUAGGAACUCUCUGUAUUAUAAUGGCUCCUUGGCAGCAGGUAGCAAUGGCUACAAAUUAAUGGCAUUUUUAUCCCCAAACACAAGAAGCAUUGUAUUCAGUUUUAGUAUUGUGGACUUGACUAGAGAGAAAGACUGUCUCUCUGUUAAUUUGUUGUACUUUUUUAUACCAAUCGAGCCAAAUGACAAAUGUGUAUAUAUAUUUAGUACAUGUAUUUAUAUUUUAAAUUUUUUUUUGUAUACAUGCUGAUGAUACGAACAGGGAUAACUGCCAGUAUUGUUGACAGAAAUGAAAUGUUGUUUUAAUAAAUUCCUUCUUGUUAAGAAACAGUGAAAGAACCAAGAAAAAUAAGUGGACAAAUUAAUGUCACUUAUCAAAGGUCAUUUGCAUAUCGACCUUGUACUGAAAAGUUAUUUAUUGACAAGCAACCUUAUGUAAAUGUGAACUUCUACUUGAUUUAAUGGCUCUUUUGAAGAAAAAAAAAUUAUUACAGAAGACAAAUUUGAUAAAAAUUAGUAUUGUGGAGAGUAAUUAAUUGAGGCAGUGUUCAGUGAUAUGUGUGUUGUCAUUUUAGAAAUUGAUUUUAGUGUUGAUGUUUUAAUUGAAAGAAUGGUGUGAACAGAAAUCUGGGAUCUUUAUAUAUAUAGACAUGUUUUAUGUUUUUGUACAGUAAAUUAAAAUAUAUGAUUUCU
rnacentral:misc_RNA from 1 species